ensembl:lncRNA
GUGACAGGCAGCUGGCUGGGGAGAGCGCACGGGGGCGGUCCCCACCGGAAGUGCACGCAGGGCUGCUGGAGGCAGUGGGCCCCCAGGGACCCUGUCAUUUUAAAAAUGCACAUGCUUUCCUUUUUGCCGAGCCUGACGACGUCGGUUGAGGCACUGCACGGCGUGCCCGGCACUCCUGCCUGACCCGGUGACUUCUCUGUGCAAAGAGGACAUGGGGAGGAUGGUUGAGAUGCACCAGACGGCCUCAUUAUGGCAAUGUGUUUCUAAGAUCAGUGUUAGGCGGAUUUGAUGACAUUUAGAAUUUAAUUAAAAUGUGGG